ACUAGAAAAAGGAUCCAAGCCGGAUCCCAAUCCCUCCGCCUCCCACCUCUUCCGUACAAAUCCGGCGCCCGAUCCCAUCGAUCCCAGUGGUGAUUCCCCCACCUAACCUGUAGCUUUGAAGACACCUCGCGCGAGGGAGCGUGCGGUGCCGGCGGCGACCUAACUUGUAGCAUUGAAUCCACCUCAUGCGAGCGACCGGCGGCGAUAGCCGGCGCGAGGGAGCGCGCGGCACUGGCGGCGAUGACCCCACCUAACCUGUAGCUUUGAAUCCGCCUCAAGCUCUGGAUUCGAUUCGCUUCGUCACGAUGGAGGCCAGCGAUUCUCGUAAAAAAUGGCACCUGAUGAAGACGAUGAUGACCUGACUAGAUCGACUGUAUGUGUCGACACACAAAACUCCCCCGUGCAGAAUGACCCAAGUUUAUGUGUUAAAGCAGUGGUGGUGCAAACUGCAAGGUAUCCACCACAGGCGCCAAUGAAUGAAAGAGUUACUAGACGCAAUUGCAAACAUGUGCCGCGCCUGAAGAACCAUCAACACCAAUCAAGCGUUUUGGAGACAAUCAAUGAGGUGGAUGAUGGACCUGCACAAGAUGAUGAUCACAUUGAAUGUUGGACUAAGAUUGUUCCUCAAGAUGACUGCGAGCGAGAACUCGAGCAAUUCUUUAUUCUAAGGCCUAAAACACGAUGUCCGUGAUAUCCACAAGCUCAAGAAGACCAGUCUGGACAGAGCGAUGAUAAGGCAGGUGCAGAUACUUGUACAAAUAACUAUGUGAAAUCUAGAACUGCAUGUUGUUCUGCCACCCAAAAAAAGAUAACAAAAAUGAUGUUCUGCUAACAUCAGCAGUUAGGUGUUCCACCAUCAUGCAGUUAUGUGUACAAAGCAGUUAGGGUUGAGUGCAUAAGGGAGUUAGAAACCGUGGGGCAGUUAGCUUAAAUAAUGUAGUUAUGUGAUAAACCACUUAGGUUUAAAUACACAUGGAAGUUGGAGUACACAACAACUAAAAUUUUACUCAAUAACGAAAAAGGCAGUUAACUAGAUGUCGUGGGGAUGUGGGUGGAGCGCACCCUUCUUUAGGCCCGUGGUGGGUGGCCUACUCCCACUCCGGUGACAUAGCCCUGCCCAUCCCGGGCUCCAGCUCCGGUGACACCUUCCCCAUGUUGUCGUUCCAGUGGAGACGCAGAAGCUUGUUCCGGUGGUAACUUCCUGCUUUUCAGUUAACUUCAGUAGCGCUAAAACUCUUUGCCUCCUUCAGUUAACUUGCUCUUCAUGUCGUAGAUGGAUCUCGUCCUCGAGCAGUUCAUGGUGUGGAUCUCCGGCGGUUAGCUUUUGGGUUUCUUCUACUCCUCCGACCCAGCCUGUGUAGUUGGCAAUUAUUUGGGGGUUAUCUACAGCUAGCAUGUUCAGUUCUUACUUGCAAAAUAAUGUUUUUUUUGACUUUGAUAAAGAGAAUUUUUUUGAAUUUGCUUGCAAAAUAAUUUUGUGUCAAGAGUCAAGACAUCCAUGUCCAGUUUAUUAUUUUGGGGAUCCAGUGAAUAUUAUUUUUCUUGUUAGCAGUUAACUUCUGCUCCGUUGCGCCAGGGAUCGACGAGGUGCAGGACCCCUGAUGGGGAUUUACUGGUGGAGCGACCUCUCUACAGCUAGCUCAAUUUCAUGGAUACGUUAGCUUAGUUUCAAGGAGCAGUUUGCAUUACUGAUAGUUAUGUAAAAAAUAAACAGAGACCACUCCUCAAUUAGCUCUUGCCCCCAUGCUGCCAGCGGCGUGAUCCACGGUGUGUAGUUUGCCAAUGCUCAAUUUCAUGGAGCAGUUAGUUCAGGUACCGGCUGCAGUUAUCUUGCGUCCAAAAAAACUAAGUGAUGUACAAAACUAUGAUUUUGCCAAGCCCCUACUUGCGUGAGGUACAAAAAAUAGCAAUCUAAUUAGAGGGUUCAGUUUGUUUACCAAGCCCCUGCUUGCGUGAGGUACAAAAAAUAUUUUUAAUCUUGGCAGUUAACUCGGUGUUAACUGCCGCAAUCCUUGGCAGUUAGCUAUUUUACUCCCGGUCGUUAGCUUGAACUGGGCAAAAAACCAAAAAAAUAUUUUUCAAUCCUGACAGUUAACUAUCGCAGUCUCGUUGUUGUUUCUACAGCUUCAGCUAGCAGCAACCACAGCAGGUGGUUACAGUUGGCCAUGCCGGCAGUUAAGAAAGACCAGUUAGAAGUGUGUGUGUGUGUGUGUGUGUGUAUGUGUGCAUGACGAGUUAGCUUAGGACAUGGUUCAUUUUCUUAUGUUGUGUGUUUCCGAGUUGGCUUAGGCCAUGGUUCUUUCUUUGAUGCAGUAGCAGUUCGGUUAUAAAAGGCAGCGACAGUCAAGAAAAAAACUGGAGAAUGGGGAGGACAAGAAUCCAGCAAGGGAGAAGGGCAAAAAAGAAAGCCGGUGAUCAAGAUAAAGUAUAGUUGACUUGCAUCCAAAAGGUCGACAGAUGGGAAGAUUUUGCAAAGACUUGAUAUAAAAAAUUGGCAGUUAGCUUGCAAGUGACCGUGUUCAGUGCUGCAUUAUGAUGCUCCUGCUUCAUCUUUUGUGUCUGUUUCGUCUUCCCGAGAAUAAAAACUUCCAAGGAAACAAGCAAUUAGAGUGAAAAGGAGAACUUAGAAAAGAAGUAGAGUGCCUAGGAGCUGAUUUGCAACAAGAUAGAGAGAUGGAUCAUGCUCAGUCUGUUGCUCAACUGAAUACCUUGACCACUGAACUAGCCACUUACAAUGAACAAGGUAGAAAAUGUUUGAUAAACUGAAUGUUUGAGAGUUAAAGUGGUUCUUUUAGGCUUGUGCUUUCAGUAAAUUUGGUUUAUAUUCAUGUCACUACUUGGCUUAUUAAUAUCCUUUUGUUCUGAAAAGACUUAUCAUUAUGCUUGUUCUCAAGAAACAGAGACCACUACUCAAUUAGCUCUUGCCCCCAUGCUGCCAGCGGCGCGAUCCACGGUGCGUAGUUUGCCAAUGAUCAGUUUCAUGGAGAAGCUAGAGUUAGUUUCAGGGACUGGCUGCAGUUAUCUUGCGUCCAAAAAAUUUAAGUGAUGUACACAACUAUGAUUUUGCAAAGCCCCUGCUUGCCUGAGGUACAAAAAAUAGCAAUCUAAUGAGAGGGUUCAGUUUGUUUGCCAAGCCCCUGCUUGCGUGAGGUACAAAAGAUAUUUUUAAUCCCGGCAGUUAACUUGGUGUUAACUCCCGCAAUCCCUGGCAGUUAGCUAUUUUACUCCCGACUGUUAGCUUGAACCAGGAAAAAAACAAAAAAAAGUAUUUUCAAUCCUGACA